rnacentral:rRNA from 1 species
UGAGUAACCUGCCCUUCACUCUGGGAUAACUCCGGGGAAACCGGGGCUAAUACUGGAUAUGACUCGAACAGGCAUCUGUUUCGGGUGGAAAGAUUUAUUGGUGGAGGAUGGACUCGCGGCCUAUCAGCUUGUUGGUGAGGUAAUGGCUCACCAAGGCAACGAUGCGUAGCCGACCUGAGGAGGGUGAUCGGCCACAUUGGAACUGAGACACGGUCCAGACCUCCGUACGGGAGCA